rnacentral:lncRNA from 1 species
GGGAAACGUAAUUCUUGGCCCAUGAACCACAAAGCUGAUUUUCCUAAAGUCCAAAUCGGGUGGGGAGAAAUUGCUGUUCCUUGCCAGCUAUCAUUCUGUUCUUGAAGAAUAAAAUGAAAGGGGGCCUCCCCAAAUUUUAGGACCAUUAGGAUGUCACUUUCAGCACAUUUCUACCCUGCAGCUAGCCUCGAGGAGAAGCAGAGGAUACCUCCUGUUUUCCACGUUGCCUCGGGAUCCCCAAUUUAUAAUACAGGGGUGCAGGAGGCCCUUGGACCUGAGGAGCUGUGAGGGUACGGGGCUUCUCAAAAUGUUUCACAGCAGGUUUCUGCUUUAAAGGUCGGCACCCCUCCAGGAAAGGCUGGUCCCCCAGCUCCUAUGCUCUCAACUUUCCACCACACCCCGGUUGGCAGUUCCUUCAGGGCCAGGCGCAGGUAAAGAGGGUGUGUGGAGAAGGCCCCAGUCUGAAAUAUCUAGGGCUUGGGGGUGCUCCAACCUCACUGCCAUUAGAAUUACCUGGGGAAAGAGAAUCCUUGCCUUUAAAAGCCAUCUUCUAUCUAGACACGGUGGUGUUGUCCCAGCUGCUGGAGAGGCUAAAGCAGGAAGCAGGAGAAACACUGAGCCAGGAGUUUGGGGCCAGUGCGGACAACAUAGCAAGAAACCCUCGUCCAGACUCAAAAAGACUGAAGGAAAAGAAGCUGUGGGGGAGGGACACAGCCUCAUUGCUUCCUCAAACAACCCGGUAGAUCCCUUGUACAGUCAUGUUUGAGAACCACCACCCUGAAGGCACCUCCCAUGACCACCCUGGGAAAAAGGUGCCCUUCACAGUGUUACCUGCCUGCAUCCUGGCUCUCCCGGUCACUAUUUUUCCUGUUGCUUUUGAUUUGAUUUUUGACACAUCUUACUCUGCAGCUUCAUUUCCUCCCCGGUUUUUCG